rnacentral:misc_RNA from 1 species
UAAAAGUUUUAUCAAUAAAUAAUCCAUUUGACUACUUUAUCAUCGCUUUUGCCCAAUCCCAUUUUCCCUCAAUUCCUAGAGGUCUCCACUAGAAUGGGUAAUUCUUGGUUUCUCAAAUGGGUUUUGCUUUUAGGCCUAUUGGGAACUUGUGUUUAUGGUCUAGGGGUUAAUUGGGGAACCCAGGCUACUCACAAAUUACCACCAAAGGCAGUGGUGCAAAUGUUGAAGGACAAUGGGAUCCAAAAAGUGAAGCUUUUUGACGCAGACCGAAACACUAUGAGUGCACUUGCUGGAACUGGCAUCGAAGUCAUGGUGGCGAUACCCAAUGACCAACUCGCUGCCAUGAAUGAUUAUAAUCGUGCCAAGGAUUGGGUCCAGAGGAAUGUCUCAAUCUACAACUUCAAUGGAGGGGUUAACAUCAAGUAUGUUGCAGUUGGGAAUGAGCCUUUCCUCACAACCUAUAAUGGGUCAUUCUUAAACGUGACCUUUCCAGCGCUUCAGAACAUUCAAAAUGCCCUCAAUGAAGCUGGGGUGGGAGACUCUAUAAAGGCCACUGUACCCUUGAAUGCCGAUGUCUACAAUUCACCCAAUGACCAACCUUAUCCAUCUACUGGAAGAUUCCGUAGUGAUAUUAGUGACCUCAUGACGUCGAUUGUUCAAUUUCUAAAUAAGAGCAAUGCACCUUUCACAGUGAACAUCUACCCUUUCCUAAGUCUCUACGGAAAUGAUAACUUCCCUAUCAACUAUGCUUUCUUUGAUGGAGCAUCACA